UGGGUAGUGUGUCUUUUCGGA
rnacentral:miRNA from 1 species